rnacentral:rRNA from 1 species
GACGAACGCUGGCGGCGUGCCUAAUACAUGCAGGUCGAACGCUGACGGAGGAGCUUGCUUCUCUGGAUGAGUUGCGAACGGGUGAGUAACGCGUAGGUAACCUGCCUGGUAGCGGGGGAUAACUAUUGGAAACGAUAGCUAAUACCGCAUAAGAGUAGAUGUUGCAUGACAUUUGCUUAAAAGGUGCAAUUGCAUCACUACCAGAUGGACCUGCGUUGUAUUCGCUAGUUGGUGAGGUAACGGCUCACCAAGGCGACGAUACAUAGCCGACCUGAGAGGGGGAUCUGCCACGCUGGGACUGGGACACGGCCCAGACGCCUACGGGAGGCAGCAGUAGGGAAUCUUCGGCAAUGGACGGAAGUCGGACCGAGCAACGCCGCGUGAGUGAAGAAUGGUUUCGGAUCGUAAAGCUCUGUUGUAAGUGAAGAACGAGUGUGAGAGUGGAAAGUGCACACUGUGACGGUAUCUUACCAGAAAGGGACGGCUAACUACGUG